GAAACUACGAAGGUAAACCUCAAUUAUUUCAUCCGAUUUCCUUCAGAUUACUUCCGGUGUUCAUCAAAUCAAUCUGUUAAACGAUAUGAUUC
rnacentral:sRNA from 1 species